CUCCUCCCCUGUGCCUGAGAGAUAGUCAGGAACUGUACAAACUCCAUUAUCUCCAAGUACAGAAAAACACACCUUUUCACAACACUCCAAAAGUACUCCCAAAAUCCAUGAAAACCCCUCAUGAGUUACAUCCCCAGAGAGCCUAGAGUGGUAGCAGUCGUUCAAUCUCGGGAGUCAAAAACAAAAUACCUAACCGAUCCUCUAGCUCCUAGGUAGCGAUUGUUCGCCUAGUUCAUGCGAACAAUCCUACCGAAUGUUACUCUCCUG